CAAGUAGCCACAGCCGAUGGUACCCACAGGGGUAGUGAAGACAUCCGUGACACCCCAGUUGGGGUGGGGAGGCUGCCGAGCCCUGUAUUAUGUUUACAGUUUUACUACACCUCAUAAUGGAAAACCAAAUGUUCCUUUUAUAAAACCAAUAAAAAUCGAUUAAAAACUAAAUUUGACCUAACAGUGAUCUGUUAACAUCUUCAGUUG